AAGACUUUCACCCACUUCCGCCUGCGCCAUUUUCUUCUGCUAAAUGUUCGCUCUCUGCUCCGCGUCUUGGUGAUUUCCAAACAGAUUGUAUUCUACUCUUCUAAAACAUGGGAAGGAAAAAGAAGAAGCAGAUGAAGCCAUGGUGUUGGUAUUGUAAUAGGGAUUUUGAUGACGAAAAGAUUCUUAUUCAGCACCAAAAGGCCAAACACUUUAAGUGUCACAUAUGUCAUAAAAAGCUAUACACUGGUCCGGGCCUGGCCAUCCACUGUAUGCAGGUUCACAAAGAAACAAUCGAUGGUGUUCCCAAUGCCAUACCUGGAAGAACAGACAUUGAAUUGGAAAUUUAUGGGAUGGAGGGUAUUCCAGAGAAAGAUAUGGAAGAAAGGAGACGGGUACUCGAGCAGAAAACACAGGAAAACCAGAAAAAGAAACAGAACCAAGAUGACUCGGAUGAAGAUGAUGAUGAUGAUGAGGCAGGACCCUCAUUCCAGCAGGCAGCAGCACAGCCUCAGGCUGCUUACGCUCCUAUGGCACAGCCUGGAAUGGCACCUGUGCCCACACCAGGGAUGCCACCUGGGAGCUACUCAGGAAUGCCACCAAUGAUGCCUGCAGUCCCUCCCAUGAUGCCAGGGAUGCCCCCAGUUAUGCCAGGGAUGCCACCUGGCAUGAUGCCCAUGGGUGGGAUGAUGCCACCGGGACCAGGAAUGCCUCCGAUGAUGCCAGGCAUGCCACCAGGCAUGCCUCCUCCUAUGGGCCAUCGUCCAGGUAUGAGCCACAUGCCCCAGGCUCCUGCAUCCACUACGUCAGGCAUGAUCCCAAGAGCAGCCACACCUGCAGCCACAGUUGCUGCUCCACAGCCUGCUGUCACCAAACCAUUGUUCCCUAGUGCAGGACAGAUGGGGACUCGAGCUCCCAGCACAAGCUCAGCCUCCUCCAGUAUGGACACUUUGUCAGCACCCUCUAAGCCGCUGUCGCAAGCUGUGCCUGGGGCAGCAGCAGCCACUACUUCUGCUGCUCCCAAAGCCACAUUCCCAGCCUACAGUCAGCCUGCGCCCUCUGCUGCCAGCGCAGGCAGCACUGUGGCCAAACCUGCCACACCCAUCACAAGUAAGCCUGCCACCCUCACCACUACCAGUGCAACCAGUAAGUUGAUCCACCCUGAUGAGGAUAUCUCUCUGGAGGAGCUGCGUGCUCAACUACCACGCUACCAGUGUAAGAUCCCUAACACAGGGCAGGCACACAUCAGCACUCCUCCUGUUGGACCAAUGGGAGGGGUGUUGCCUGCUCAACAGGGUGCUUCCUCACAGCCAGCCAGGCAUCCCAUGCAUGGGCCAUACGGUACCCCAUCCCAGGCAGUGCCUGGCUAUGUGCCAGGGGCAAUGUCACCAUAUGGACAAGGGCCCCCAAUGGUUCCUCCUUACCAGGGAGCUCCCCCAAGGCCGCCCAUGGCCAUGAGACCUCCUGUAAUGUCCCAGGGAGGCCGUUAUUGAAGCUCAAACACCAGUCUCCGAUAGGUUUUUAGAAGUGAAGUUUAGUAAAUAUGGUUCGUAAUAAUUUGAAGCGGCUGGAGUAACGUGAACAGUACUGCACCUUUUAUCAAGCGAUGCCAUGGGACCGGCUGAGGUUGAGUCUCACUGGUGCCCUGUUCAGGCUGAGGCAAGUCACAUGUUUUUCUCUUUAAUUUCUUACGAGCAGGGGGCCCUCACAGCCUCAUGGCUGUUGGAUUCCAAUGUCCCCAAACUUGUAGCAAGUUUGGUGAUGGCCCCUGUUAUUAUUCACAUUAGAAAAAACCUAUAACUAACCUCUCCUGCUUUUGUUUCCAAAGUGCAGAGGUGGGAACAAGUAACAAGUAAGUUUUAAGUCUUAAUACUCAAGCCCCAAGUAAAGUCAGAGGAGACCCAAAUCCUGAACAAUUCAAAAUGCGUUCAUGACCAACCUUUCCCGCGUCGAUAUCUAACUUUAGCAAAGUAUGGUGCGUUAAAGCCGUGGUAUUUAGAACUCUUGCUAACAGCAGUAUAAACAAAAAUAUAUUUUUAACCACACCUAAAAUGACCCAUAAAAUGACAUGCAUCACAAAUUACACUUAAAAAGUAGUGUAAACACAUUUUGUCAGUUGAUUUGGACUUAAACGUGCUUGUUCAUAUGCAUUGGCUUCACAAAAUCCAGAAAAUAAGCCUUUGUAAGGGCUGUCAGUUGUGUUCUCUACAAAUAAAAUAUUGUGCAGGGAUGAUGGGGUACCUCCAGUCCUGGUGGGAUACCUUAUUAAUAUUUGUCAAUGUUUAAUUUGCUUAUAAAUGUUUGUCACCUUCCGACACACCAAAUAUAGCCCAUAGAUUUCUCUGUAAUUACCUAAUGAGUUUGUUCAGGUGUUUAAAUAUAAAUGAAAUGCUAACAUUUUUGUCUUGACACCCCAAAUCUAGUAUUUAUUAACACUGCUCAGUUGAUAAAUAUCUUAACUUUAAAGCAAAAGUAAUGGUACUGUAAACAUGGUUAAAAUAAUAGCUGUUCUACCAUCCAACACAACCAGCAUACAAAUAUAGUACACAAAUUAUUUAGGAUUUAUCUUUGGGGUUGAUGAGCAGAACCUUCUUAUCUCAUAUUGAUCAAUGCUGUAAUGCCCAACCCUUCUUAGGCUCAAUUAUCAGAUAAAUCCGGUACUUAAAUAACUGCUGAUAGAUUUCUUAUUAAUUAUGUAGGUCAAGAUAUAACAUUCUUUGUGCCUUGUGACAUGAGUCCACUCCUCUGUGAUGGUACCCAAUUCUCUCGUUGGUGUUAGUGAUUAUCGAAUGUUCUAAGAAAAACAUUAAUACUUUACAUUUGAUAAUCACUAACACCAACGAGAGAUUUGGAUACCAUCACAGAAUGUUACUCUAAAACAUGUCCGAAGAAAAACAAUUAAAAAAAAAAAGCUAAAGUGAAUUUCUGUGAUCUCUACUGGUACAGCGAGCAUUCAGAUUUUAUGAAAUUCAUUUCUGAAAUUGCAAUUUUCUAACAUGGAACUGAAUCAAUUCUCUCACAUACAGUAUGCAAUAGCAGUUUCUUUAAGAUUAUAGAGAUGUGACUUUUGCAGUGCUGUUUGUUGGUCUUGCUCUUCCUGUUUGUUUCACAUCAGAUACUGAUCAUAAUACCUGUUGUGGGUAAGUGCCUUUGUCUCAGGCUAGUCUUUUAAACGGUAAUCUUUCUACCCAGAUUUUUCUUCCUUUCUUUUCUUUAUCCAAAUCUUUUAUGAAUGGUUUGACUUUUGUUUUAUAGCUGUGCUCCACCUGGUUUUCCUGGAUCAGAUUAUAUAAUAUAGCUGUAGAAAUAUUAUAUCAUUUGCCUCUGUAAUCAACACAAUGGAUUUGAAAUGAAGUGAUUAUAGUCUAGAUUUUCAGCUUUAUUUCAAGGGUUUUAACAAAAAUAUUGCAUUAGCUGUUUAGGAAUUACUUAGUCCGUCCAUUUUCACAGGCUCUAAAGUCAUUUGACGUUUGCCUGAUAGGUCACACCUAGUCGUGAAACUGCUUGUGUCCUCAUUAUUGACAAAUUAAGGAGUGAAAGGUCUGGAGUUGAUUGAAUUUGCAUUCAGCAGCUGUUCAUGAAAACUCUUAAUAUGCAGUCCCAAGCAGUGAAGGAGACCAUCAUUUAGGCUGAAAAAAACAAAACAGACCUAUAGGAGAAGAGAGAUGGCCAAAUCAACAUUGCAACAGUAAGAAGCAAUGUACUAGUGAGCUCAGCAACACCGAAAGGGCCUGGAAGACCACAGAAGUUAACCGAAGUGGAUGAUUGCAAAAUUUUUUACUCUGUGCAGGAAAAAAAACUCCCUCACAGCAUCUAGCCAUGUCAAGCACACUCAAGGAGGUAGGCAUGUCUUUGUCAGUGUACAAUCAUUCGUGAAUGUAAGUAAAGUGUUCUAAAACUGUGCCCUGGUUCUGGAGCAAGGUUCUUUGGACAGAUGACACCAAGAGAAGCAGAAUGAUGGGAAGAGAUGAAUAUGUAGAAGGAAAGGAUAGGGUUGUGUUCCAUGAGCUCGUGUAAUGUCAUCUGUUAAACAUGGUGGAGGCAGUGUUAUGGAACUGGGGCACUGCAUUGUGACUGCUGAUCGAAACAGCAGGAAGAAUUCUGAAGUGCCUAGAGCAGGGGUGUCCAAUCUUAUCUGUAAAGGGCUGGUGUGGGUGCAGGUUUUCAUUCCAACUGAGCAGAAGCCACAUCUGAGUCUACUGAAAGCCAAGAUCAGUUGAUUAGCCAGUUCGAAUCAGGUGUAGCUCCUGCUUGGUUGGAAUGAAAACCUGCACCCACACCGGCCCUUUCUGGCCUAUACUUUCUGCCCAGAUUCAGUCAAAUGCUGCAAAACUGAUAAGGCAGUGCUUCACAGUUCAGAUGGAUAACCCAAGAGCUUCUUAAGGCAAAUAAAUGGAAUGUUCUUAAAUGACCGACAUAACUGACGACAAAAAGCCUCGUAAACAAGCAGCAGCUGAAGGCAAGCCCUUGCAGAGCAUCUCCUGGGAGGAAACUCUGCACUUGAUGUCCAUGAGUCCCAGACUUCAAGAAGUCUUUGUCUGUAAAGGAUUUGCCUUCAAGUAACAAAAAUAAUCCUUAUAUUUAUAAUUAUGUUGAUUUGUCAAUAUUGAGCCUGUGAAAAUUCACAUACUACGUAAAGAAAAAAAAUGUCUCUAAGGCUGUAAACAGUGAAUGCAUUAUUUUUGUCAAAGUGCUUGAAUUAAAUGUUAAAGUUGUCACUUCAGCUUGAUUGCUUAAUUUCAAAUUCAUUGUGGUGGUGUAGAGAGGCACAAUUAUCACAUACUUCAUGCACCUGGAAGUGUUUAGCCUAAAAUAUCAACCUUUUAUUGAAUAAAUAUUUAUUAAUGAAUUAAUAAAAUUGUGUACCACUCAAAUUGAAAUACAUCUUGUCUUACCUUUAUUUUAAAUAUUUGGUGUACACUUAGCUUAGUGGAAUUAUUUCAGCAGCAUUUUUUUUUUUUUACAUUUAGAAAUGACCAUUUCGUUGUUGCUUAAUGCCCGAGAUGCUAAGCCUCAAUCUGAAUUUGAUACAUUCAUAUUGUCUUCAAUUAGAUGCUUUUAGUGUGGUGUGAAGUUGAUAUGUGAUAUGCAAUGAGUUAACAAAACCCCAGCAGAGAGAUUUUCCUCCCUUAGAGAAAUAAAGUAUACAUGAGCACUGCAUUGAAUGUGUGUUGUUUUUUUUUUAAACACUUUUCACUUUAUUGCAUAUCAAUAAUCAAUCACUGAUCUGAUUAAACUUACAAGGCUGUGACCUGAUGUCAGAACCAAAUUGUUGAUGUGGUGCUCUGAAGACAGCAUGGGCUUUGUAGACUGUGGUGUCCAUGCCACUCAGGAUGAUGCUACUCUUAUUUCUCAUAAUAUAGCUCCUGGAUAAUUAGUAACAAAACUGCUAUACCGUCUUUGACACAAGUUCCACUAUAAUGAGAGCUGAGAGGUUUAAGUUUUUUUGUGAUUACAAAGUGGCUACUUGAAUAGGAACUUCUUGGGACACCUGCUCAUUCAUACUAUUAUGCAGUCAGCCAAUCAAGCAGUGCAAUGUGUAUCAACACUAUUGUGUGUGCAUACAUACACAAGCUGAGAUCUUUUGGCAUUAAAUGUCAUGGUGGCUGGCUGUAAGGAAACAAUAAUGGACGUCGUUUCCUAUGAAACCUUGCUGAGUUUGAUUUAGCUUCUGCGUGACUGAAGGGACUCUAGCAUUUAUAUUUAUGCUUUAAAAAGUAGCGGUACAACAUCAGCAAGCUAUUAAACCAGUUUUUUUUAGCCGUAGUGAUGUUUCUUCCUCGCAAAUAAUUUUGUAGUAGAGUAAAAGAAAAAAAAUAUUAGCAGUGUGGAGUUUAGAAAACUCCUUCAGUGAAAAAACAGGUGUCAAUAAUUAUCCUUUAUUGUAGAAGGGCAGCAAAUGUUUCACACAUUGUUAUAAACUAUAUCGCCCACUGAAAUGCAGUAAAAUGGGCCGUUCCAAACAUUGUUCUGAGAAACAACGCCAAGUUACGCCAUCAUUUGGCCCAAAGAGAAAUGGCGUAAUAUUCUGUGGUCUGAUAAAUUGUUCUUUUCGGUACACUAUGAACACUGAGUACACUAUGAACACAUUAACGCAUAAUUGCACAAAAUCACAUAAGACUAUUUUUUAUACUAUGGGCUACUUUACUGUAUACCAUGAAUCAUGGAUCAGUUUAAAUACAUCAGAAUACUUGAGAUUAUGUUGCUGAAGAGGAAAUGCCCCUGAAAUGUACAACACUACUACCAAACACACAAGUGAGCAACAUCUUGGUUCCAGACAAAAAGGAUCGAGGUAAUGGGGUGGCCAGCUCAAUCCCCUGACCCCAACCCUGUUGGAAAACCUGUGGGGUGAUAUUAGAAAUGCAGUUUCUGAAGCAAAACCCAAAGAAACUCAUUCAUCAGUCUGAAAUAUCUGUUUCUAGGAGCCAGAAAUUGGUUGACCAAAUGCAUCGCAGUUCAGCGCAGCAGUUAUUAAAACCAAUGGUCAUGCAACUAAAGUUUAAAUCGUUAACUGUUUGAAGAGAAAAGUCAUAAUAACCUAUUUUACACACAUAUAUAUAUAUAUAUAUAUAUAUAUAUAUAUAUAUAUAUAUGCGUCUCAAAGCAGCUUUACAAAAGAAGAGAAACAGAGAAAGAACAAUAAACUAUUAAAUUAAAUUAUUAAACUAUUUUAUCCUUAUUUUAUUUUAUCCCUAAUUAGCAAGCCUGUGGUGACGGUGGCAAGGGAAAACUCCCUGUGAUGAAGAAACCUUGAGAGGAAACAGGCUCAGAAGAGAACCUCAUCCUCAUUUGGGUGACACUGGACAGUAAAUACUGAUUAAUGUCCUUUCUACAACAGCAAUCAAGGGUCCAUGAGGAACUAUUAG